rnacentral:rRNA from 1 species
GACGAACGCUGGCGGCGUGCUUAACACAUGCAAGUCGAACGGAAAGGCCCUGCUUUUGUGGGGUGCUCGAGUGGCGAACGGGUGAGUAACACGUGAGUAACCUGCCCUUGACUUUGGGAUAACUUCAGGAAACUGGGGCUAAUACCGGAUAGGAGCUCCUGCUGCAUGGUGGGGGUUGGAAAGUUUCGGCGGUUGGGGAUGGACUCGCGGCUUAUCAGCUUGUUGGUGGGGUAGUGGCUUACCAAGGCUUUGACGGGUAGCCGGCCUGAGAGGGUGACCGGCCACAUUGGGACUGAGAUACGGCCCAGAAUACUACGGGAGGCAACAGGGGGGAAUAUUGCACAAUGGGCGGAAGCCUGAUGCAGCAACGCCGCGUGCGGGAUGACGGCCUUCGGGUUGUAAACCGCUUUCGCCUGUGACGAAGCGUGAGUGACGGUAAUGGGUAAAGAAGCACCGGCUAACUACGUG